GAUGAAGAACGUAGCGAAAUGCGAUAAGUAAUGUGAAUUGCAGAAUUCAGUGAAUCAUCGAAUCUUUGAACGCACCUUGCACCCUUUGGCAUUCCGAAGGGUAUGCUCGUUUGAGUGUCAUUGUACUUUCACACUUCCGAUCUUUGGAUUGGGAGCGGUGGACUUGGGUGUUGCUGCUUACUGUGGCUCACCUCAAAUCGAUUCGUGCACCUCUUGGUUGGACAUAGUACGGCGUGAUAAGUGUCUUCGCCGGCACCUCAGUAGAGGGUGGCUGAUCGGGAGCUCUGCUUCAAACCGUCCUCGGACAACAACUGACAACUUGACCUCAAAUCGAGUAGGACUACCCGCUGAACUUAAGCAUAUCAAUAAGCGGAGGA
rnacentral:misc_RNA from 1 species